AUUAUUUAAUGUUGUUUUGAAUAUAAAUAUUUUAUUAUGCUAGCUUGAUGCUCUUUGGGGCCCCCUAGUGGCGUGGGGGCCUUAAGCAGUCAUUUAACUCACAUAUACUUUGGGCCGGCUCUGGCAGCUUUGACGGUGAAACAGUGAGGCCCAAUUAGGGUGUAAAACGAGUGUUUUUACUGGCGGCUCUCAGCUUUAUGACUGAAGAGCUUCAGCUGCUGACGUAUGGCUUUAAAAUCUUGGCAGAACUUGUGGAAAAACAGGACCAAGAACAGAGAGAUCGCACUUUUCUUCAUGUGGAGCCCAGGAGGGGAAUGCUGGAGAUUCUGCUGAAUGAGGAACUGACCUUCAAAUGGAGACGCUGACAAUCUGGAGGAUCUGAUUAGCACCUUCAAAGCUCAAAUAAUACUUGAACUACGACCCCAAACCCCAGAGGAGUUGAAAAAGAAAUUCAAACCACUUCAUCCACCCAUCACAACGGGUCAGGAUCGUAUCCCAGACUUCAUCUCUGUAACCUGACAGAGAUUUAACGAGGCGCAGCAAAAGCAAAUGAGGAUGAGCAGAGCUUCACAACAACUGAUGCUGUCAUACAGGACAUUUUGCAAUGAAAUAUCAUCUCUGCUACCUGUUGUUGAGCUGCUAGCAUGUCAUGACUGUAAUGAGACUGUCUUCAGUCAGAGGUCUCUCCAGAAUGGUUACAAGACUGACUGCUACUGGAGAUCUCUCCUCUUUGAAGAUGCUUGAAUGAUAUGACUUGAACUUUGUUUGCCCUUUUCAAUUGCCCUAAAUGGAAUUAUUUUUUAAAUAAAAAAAUACAAAAAUAAGUUGUUUUUUAAA